rnacentral:rRNA from 1 species
UACGUAGGGUGCAAGCGUUAAUCGGAAUUACUGGGCGUAAAGCGUGCGCAGGCGGUGAUGUAAGACAGAUGUGAAAUCCCCGGGCUCAACCUGGGAAUGGCGUCUGAAACUACGGAGCUGGAGUGUGGCAGAGGGAGGUAGAAUUCCACGUGUAGCGGUGAAAUGCGUAGAUAUGUGGAGGAAUACCGAUGGCGAAGGCAGCCUCCUGGGCCAACACUGACGCUCAUGCACGAAAGCGUGGGGAGCAAACAGG